rnacentral:rRNA from 1 species
UACGUAGGUGGCAAGCGUUGUCCGGAAUUAUUGGGCGUAAAGCGCGCGCAGGUGGUUCUUUAAGUCUGAUGUGAAAUCUCGCGGCUCAACCGCGAGCGGUCAUUGGAAACUGGGGAACUUGAGUGCAGAAGAGGAAAGUGGAAUUCCACGUGUAGCGGUGAAAUGCGUAGAGAUGUGGAGGAACACCAGUGGCGAAGGCGACUUUCUGGUCUGUAACUGACACUGAGGCGCGAAAGCGUGGGGAGCAAACAGG